rnacentral:rRNA from 1 species
AACGUAGGAGGCAAGCGUUAUCCGGAGUUACUGGGCGUAAAGCGCAUGUAGGCGGUUGGGUAAGUGGCGUGUGAAAGCUCCCGGCUAAACUGGGAGAGGACAGGUCAGACUGCCGAACUCGAGUCCGAUAGAGGGCGUAGAAUUCCGGUGUAGCGGUGAAUGAUGUAGAGAUCCGGAGGAAUACCAGUGGCGCAAGCGGCGCCCUGGGUCGGUACUGACGCUGAGAUGCGAAGCGUGGGGAGCGAACGGG